CCCAGAGCUGCUAUCGUAUCGGUGACGCUGCAGCGCUGUGGAAAAAGGCUGUCGUGGAAAAACGUUUUCUUUACACUGCGAGGAAGUUUAUUCUUCCGAACAAAAGUGACUAUUUACUACUAACCAGAAAGGAUAUUUUUUCCUGUUGAGGACUUUCCCUUCAAAAGAGAGACAAAUGUGUUGACAGGUUAGUAAAGAACGGUGCGCCUGGCUCGGGGCAGUCAGGAUGGAUGGAUGGCAGAAGCACAAAAUGAAUUCACAAGAAAUUCCAGCGAGAUCUCCAGUGAGUCAUCAAAUCUCCAGUGAGCAGGGCCGUCGUAUGGAAAUGUCAAACAGUCCAGGCAUAUUAAUCAGAGCCUAACAUGGUCCUGGACUAUUACACUCCCUUAACGUUCUACACAGUAUUUUAACACCCAUUUGAUCUUAUAAUGCUACCAUGGCUGGUACUGGAACCAGCCUCCCUGUGGACUGCAUACAGCUGCUCAUCUCAGCCACCUUUAAGGGAUCAGAUGGACACUUUGUAGUGGCCAUAUUCCCCACAGUCACACAGCAAAUACCUGCUGUGGGGGAGUGUGGCAAAGUGGAUGGAGGCUGUGUGGUCCAGUGGUUAAAGAAAAGGGCUUGUAACCAGGAGGUCCCCAGUUCAACUCCACCUCAGCCACUGAUUCAUUGUGUGACCCUGAGCAAGUCACUUAACCUCCUUGUGCUCCGUCUUUUGGGUGUGGAUCCCUUUAGAAGUCAAUGAAUAGGUAAUGAAGUGGACGAGUUGUAAUUACUGCAAUGGAAGGCACAGCAGCGUGAUGUGAACGAGGGAGGAAAAGGCCUGUCUGGCGUGGGCCGAGGGACGGCUUCCCUGCACUCCCAGCGAUUCCCCUGCUCCAAUUUAACAUCACAAAUUAAACCAGAGACUCUCUCUUCAUUAACCACAGAGCACAAGACCAUUAACCAAUUAAACAACCAAUCCUGCCAUCUACAUCCACUUCAUCUGGCUUUCCCUGUCAGUGUGGCUCCCCUGACAUGCCUGGAGCUAAUCACCUGGCAAUCUGGAGCGUCACACACAGCUCGUGCACAGACGACUGUGAAUACCGCUAUUCUCAAUCUAGUGCUUACUACAUGUUGCUGAUUGAUGUAUUACAAUUUAAAUCUCACUUUAUCCCAUGUAACACACAAUACAACACUUAAAUGUUUUCCCAUGAUCCCCUCCCUCAUUUGCAUAGCGGCCCCAGUGUGUUAAUUACCAUCCCCCCUCUGUCACCAUUAAGUGCAUGGUAUUGCCACCUGCCAGCCAUUACAGUAUAAGCAGUAUACAUUGUACUAUUCAUCUAGCCUUAUUAAAAAAACACCACUUUGA